rnacentral:misc_RNA from 1 species
UACGGAGGGUGCAAGCGUUAAUCGGAAUUACUGGGCGUAAAGCGCGCGUAGGCGGCGUGAAAAGCCGGUUGUGAAAGCUCCUGACUCAACCUGGGAACGGCAUCCGGAACUGUCAGGCUAGAGUGCAGGAGAGGAAGGUAGAAUUACCGGUGUAGCGGUGAAAUGCGUAGAGAUCGGGAGGAAUACCAGUGGCGAAGGCGGCCUUCUGGACUGACACUGACGCUGAGGUGCGAAAGCGUGGGUAGCAAACAGG